GAUGAACGCUGGCGGCGUGCUUAACACAUGCAAGUCGAACGGAGUUAAGCGCUGAAUGAGGCUUCGGCGGAUUUCUUGCUUAACUUAGUGGCGGACGGGUGAGUAACGCGUGAGUAACCUGCCCCCGAGUGGGGAAUAACGUUCUGAAAAGAACGCUAAUACCGCAUAACAUAUACUUGUCGCAUGGCAGGUAUAUCAAAGAUUUAUCGCUCGAGGAUGGACUCGCGUCCGAUUAGCUUGUUGGUGGGGUAACGGCCCACCAAGGCGACGAUCGGUAGCCGGACUGAGAGGUUGAACGGCCACAUUGGGACUGAGACACGGCCCAGACUCCUACGGGAGGCAGCAGUGGGGGAUAUUGCGCAAUGGGGGAAACCCUGACGCAGCAACGCCGCGUGGAGGAUGACGGUUUUCGGAUUGUAAACUCCUUUUAUAAGGGACGAACUAAGACGGUACCUUAUGAAUAAGCUCCGGCUAACUACGUGCCAGCCGCCGCAGUAACAC
rnacentral:rRNA from 1 species